CCCCAUCUCUCAGUUCUCUGGACUCAAGGAUGCUGACAGGGCACAGAAGCACGGCAUGGAUGAGUUUAUCUCAGCUAACCCAUGUAGCUUUGAUCAUGCCUCGUUGUUUGAGAUGGUGCAGAGGCUCACGUUGGACCACAGGCUAAAUGACAACUUUGCGUGUUUGGGAUGGUUUAGCCCAGGUCAGGUGUUUGUUCUG